rnacentral:tRNA from 1 species
UCCCUGGCGGUCCAAUGGUUAGGACUCUGUGCUUUCACUGCUGAGGGCCCAGGUUCAAUCCCUGGGUCAGGGAA